GAUGAACGCUGGCGGCGUGCUUAAUACAUGCAAGUCGAGCGAACGGACGAGGCGAUUGCUUGUCUGAUGUUAGACGCGGACGGGAGAGAAACACGUGGAUACCCUCCCUAUAAGAAUGGAAUAACUUGGGGAAACCGGAGCUAAUACCGGAUGAUAUUUUGAACCGCAUGGUUCAAAAGUGAAAGACGGUCUUGCUGUCACUGAUAGAUGGAUCCGCGCUGGAUUAGCUAGUUGGUAAGGUAACGGCUUACCAAGGCAACGAUGUAUAGCCGAUCUGAGAGGGUGACCGGCCACACUGGAACUGAGACACGGCCCAGACUCCUACGGGAGGCAGCAGUAGGGAAUCUUCCGCAAUGGGCGAAAGCCUGACGGAGCAACGCCGCGUGAGUGAUGAAGGUCUUCGGAUCGUAAACCUCUGUUAUUAGGGAAGAACAUAUUUUGAAGUAACUGUGCACAUCUUGACGGUACCGAAUCAGAAAGCCACGGCUAACUACGUG
rnacentral:rRNA from 1 species